UGCAGAUCUGGAGCAUUGGUGAUAUUUUGGCCCUGCCAAAGGAAGGAAAACCUUUCUGAAGUAACUGCUGGAGAAGGGAUUGAGUUGGAACAAGUGCAUUUACUCUCUCUGUGUGGUGAAAAGAAAGUGUCCUGUAAACAACAGCCUACCUUGACAUUGACAAUGUGGUAGUUCACUCGCAACUCAUACUUCUUCAGCACUUUGAGCAGUGCCGUGACGAUCUCACUGGAGGUGAAGAACUCGAGGCCCUUCUGUUUAAAGUAAACCUGGCACUGGCAUAUACAAAAAGAGUUAUGAAACUGCUUCUUCUCCUCCAGCCCUCACCUGGAGAUGAGAUUGACAGCAGCAUUGGCUGUACGUGGAGGGAAGAACUCCAAGGAGAACCACCUGUCUCCAGAGUCCUGCCGUCGACGCAUCUUCUCC